GACAGAGGGUGCAAGCGUUGUUCGGAAUUAUUGGGCGUAAAGGGCGCGUAGGCGGCGUGACAAGUCACUUGUGAAAUCUCUGGGCUUAACCCAGAACGGCCAAGUGAAACUGUUGUGCUAGAGUGCAGAAGGGGCAAUCGGAAUUCUCGGUGUAGCGGUGAAAUGCGUAGAUAUCGAGAGGAACACCAGAGGUGAAGACGGGUUGCUGGGCUGACACUGACGCUGAGGCGCGAAAGCCAGGGGAGCAAACGGG
rnacentral:rRNA from 1 species